GCGGGACCUUCAUUAUGAUAGCAACGUUUGGCGCUGUUCCUUGUCACUUGCGGCGGGUGUUUCAACAUGGCGGCGGCUGAAAGAAGAAAUGGAAAAUCUGCGAUAAUGUGGAUGAAUAGUGGUGUGGACAAAGUGGUCUCUUUUAAACCAAGCAGCACAAAUAUUACGAGUAAAAAAAGCACCAUCGUGCAAGCCAAAUGCAAUUCCAAAGCGAAAAAUGGUGGAAAAGUCUGCAAUUUUAAAAAGUGAUCAGUGUUGGUCCUUUGUCAACAAAAAUGGAUUGCCCCCGGCCACUGCUUCUGCGACCACAGACACCAGCCUUUCGUCAGGUUCCAUACCCCCAAUAUCCCAGCCCAGAGCCAGGCCUGCCUGAAAGACCUCUGUCCAGAAGACAAACGACGCAUUGCAAACCUCGUGGAAGAACUCGCCAGAGUAAGUGAGGAGAAGGAUGAGUCGGUGCAGCGCCUUCAAGAUGAACAUAAUACUUUUGAACACAAGAUCCAACAGCUGGAGCAACAGAACCUGUUCAUCGCACAUGAAAGAGAAAGUAUCCUUUCAAAAAGAUGUCAAUACACUGCACUAACGCAGGGGUUAUGUAAGGUAUGGUUAGAUUCUCUGCCAUUAAGUCACAGUAAUCCUCAAAAUUGGAAUCAAAGUCAAAUUGACUUCUGAGUUGAAGAUUAAAGGUGGACUUUCUUGAACAACCAACAAGUCCAGCUUCCUUUGAUUCUAGUCUUGACAAAGUUAUGGAAAGCACUGAUACAAUUAGCUUAAAGCCUAUGUCUCAAAGUUCAGGCCCGCGGGCCAGAUCUGGCCCCCCAGGAUGAGCCUGCUGCUGUUUUGCACACACCAAUACUCCAUCAGUGUUGAUCCUACGAGAUUUCAAAAUGGGUUCCUAAGAACCCCAUCAAAUCAUAAAAAUGGGGUCCCACAGUAAAGUUUUGGGUGCCACUUUUUUGUAAGCGUUUUGAAGACAAAUGAUUAAUGUAUGCAUUAUCCCGUUAUAUCUCACAUUCUAUAUUGUCUUUUGGAAAAAGGUUGUUAUAAAUGUGACUUCAUUCAUUAAAAAAACAAAUACAAAAGAAAACCCAUUUUUAUGCAUAUGUAAAUAUAUUCAGUUAUAAACAUUCAUUCACUUUCUUCUUUCCUUCAUGGAUCUAAACUUUACCGCUGCUGGUAUUUUUGUCUAUAUCUUUAUUGUAAUAUUUUCAGAAUGUGUUUGUUCUAUUUUUGGCCAAAGUAAUACAAAGAAAACAAUCUGAA